rnacentral:rRNA from 1 species
CUGGUUGAUCCUGCCAGUUGUCAUAUGCUUGUUUCAAGGACUAAGCCAUGCAAAUGUCAGAGUACCGCUGCGCAAGCAGUGGGGGUCUGUGUACGGCUCAUUAAACGGUUUAUAGUCUGCCCAACAAAGAAGGCAUCCGUGCCUUUCCUAUGGGAUAUCUUUGCGAAACGCAAAGCUAAUACCUGUAAGAAAAAUCCCCGCUAUCAAACACCCUGGGGUAACUUAGGGUGUGGCGGGCGAUGUGAUUGGCCGAAACAAAGAUGGACGCCCGACAAGGGCAGCUGCAAUUGUUGACGCAGGCCAAAGUCGCUAAAGCACUUUUCAGUGCGACGUUGGACGAAUUUACCACCUAUCAGGUAUCGAAGGUAGUGUAGUGGACUACCUUGCCUCUGACGGGUAACGGGGGAUUGGGGUUCGAUUCCGGAGAGGGUGCCUGAGAGACGGCAACCAUGACUAUGGUCAGCAGCAGGCGCGCAAAUUGCCCAAUGUCAACAAAUUGGCGAGGCAGCGACGAAAAAUAGCUGUCCCCCCUAAAAAGGGGAUUUGCAAUGGACUGUACCCAAAUAAACUUAUGAAUACUAUUGGAGGGCAAGUCUGGU